rnacentral:lncRNA from 1 species
AAACGUGAUAUCUGACCAUCUCUCCUCACCUCCUACUCGAAAACCCCCUUCAUUCCCACUCCAUUCCUCUUCUUUGUUUUGCCAAUCAACUUUGUUUUGCCAGUUUCCAAUGUUUCUGCAAGACGGCCCCCCAGUUUGUUCACGUGUGUGUUUGUGUUCACUUCCUUUUUUCUCUUCUCCAUGAGUUGCCACAACUAUAACUCCCCUGGGCAGAUACAAAAUCCGCAAGGUUGCAAAACAGAGCUUUGAUCCUUGGAAAGAAAUGGAGUGUGCUCCACGCAUCAGACAGAGAGAAGCUAAUUCUGCUGUCUGAGAAUUAUCUGCGUCUUGCUAGCAUGAAAAGAUAUUUUGGAGAAGCAUUAGAGCAGACAGAGUUAGAAGAAAACCUCUGCUGACAGAUUGUGCUCAGAUCCUGGCUCUGCCAAGCUGCAUGACCCUGGACCAGUCAACAAUCGCUUUGGAGAGGAGAAACAAUUACUUUGUAAACUGAAGCAGCGCACUUAAUGAAGGAAGCAGAGAAGCUGCUGUGGAGGCUUUUUGCUAUCUAAUGUGCUCACGCGGUGCCUCAGUUUCUGCAUCUGUAAAUUAAGAUGAUAAUAAUCACUAUCUCAUAGGGUUGUGCAGAAGAUUAGAUGAGUUAAUAUACAGAAAGCAUUUAAACAGUGCCUGGCGCAUCGUAAGCGCAAUGUAUAAUGGUUUGUUUUCAUCACUACUUUGAUCAUUUAUUUUAAAA